GGUUAAGUUAGAAAGGGCGCACGGUGGAUGCCUUGACACUAGGAGUCGAUGAAGGACGGGACUAACGCCGAUAUGCUUCGGGGAGCUGUAAGUAAGCUUUGAUCCGAAGAUUUCCGAAUGGGGAAACCCACCAUACGUAAUGGUAUGGUAUCCUUAUCUGAAUACAUAGGGUAAGGAAGACAGACCCAGGGAACUGAAACAUCUAAGUACCUGGAGGAAGAGAAAGCAAAUGCGAUUUCCUGAGUAGCGGCGAGCGAAACGGAACAUAGCCCAAACCAAGAGGCUUGCCUCUUGGGGUUGUAGGACAUUCUAUACGGAGUUACAAAGGAACGAGGUAGACGAAGCGACCUGGAAAGGUCCGUCGUAGAGGGUAACAACCCCGUAGUCGAAACUUCGUUCUCUCUUGAAUGUAUCCUGAGUACGGCGGAACACGUGAAAUUCCGUCGGAAUCUGGGAGGACCAUCUCCCAAGGCUAAAUACUCCCUAGUGAUCGAUAGUGAACCAGUACCGUGAGGGAAAGGUGAAAAGCACCCCGGAAGGGGAGUGAAAGAGAUCCUGAAACCGUGUGCCUACAAAUAGUCAGAGCCCGUUAACGGGUGAUGGCGUGCCUUUUGUAGAAUGAACCGGCGAGUUACGAUCCCGUGCGAGGUUAAGCUGAAGAGGCGGAGCCGCAGCGAAAGCGAGUCUGAAUAGGGCGUUUAGUACGUGGUCGUAGACCCGAAACCAGGUGAUCUACCCAUGUCCAGGGUGAAGUUCAGGUAACACUGAAUGGAGGCCCGAACCCACGCACGUUGAAAAGUGCGGGGAUGAGGUGUGGGUAGCGGAGAAAUUCCAAUCGAACCUGGAGAUAGCUGGUUCUCCCCGAAAUAGCUUUAGGGCUAGCCUUAAGUGUAAGAGUCUUGGAGGUAGAGCACUGAUUGGACUAGGGGUCCUCAUCGGAUUACCGAAUUCAGUCAAACUCCGAAUGCCAAUGACUUAUCCUUAGGAGUCAGACUGCGAGUGAUAAGAUCCGUAGUCAAAAGGGAAACAGCCCAGACCGCCAGCUAAGGUCCCAAAGUGUGUAUUAAGUGGAAAAGGAUGUGGAGUUGCUUAGACAACUAGGAUGUUGGCUUAGAAGCAGCCACCAUUUAAAGAGUGCGUAAUAGCUCACUAGUCGAGUGACUCUGCGCCGAAAAUGUACCGGGGCUAAAUACACCACCGAAGCUGCGGAUUGAUACCGAAUGGUAUCAGUGGUAGGGGAGCGUUCUAAGGACAGUGAAGUCAGACCGGAAGGACUGGUGGAGUGCUUAGAAGUGAGAAUGCCGGUAUGAGUAGCGAAAGACGGGUGAGAAUCCCGUCCACCGAAUGCCUAAGGUUUCCUGAGGAAGGCUCGUCCGCUCAGGGUUAGUCAGGACCUAAGCCGAGGCCGACAGGCGUAGGCGAUGGACAACAGGUUGAUAUUCCUGUACCACCUCUUUAUCGUUUGAGCAAUGGAGGGACGCAGAAGGAUAGAAGAAGCGUGCGAUUGGUUGUGCACGUCCAAGCAGUUAGGCUGAUAAGUAGGCAAAUCCGCUUAUCGUAAAGGCUGAGCUGUGAUGGGGAAGCUCCUUAUGGAGCGAAGUCUUUGAUUCCCCGCUGCCAAGAAAAGCUUCUAGCGAGAUAAAAGGUGCCUGUACCGCAAACCGACACAGGUAGGCGAGGAGAGAAUCCUAAGGUGUGCGAGAGAACUCUGGUUAAGGAACUCGGCAAAAUGACCCCGUAACUUCGGGAGAAGGGGUGCUUUCUUAACGGAAAGCCGCAGUGAAUAGGCCCAAGCGACUGUUUAGCAAAAACACAGCUCUCUGCGAAGCCGUAAGGCGAAGUAUAGGGGGUGACACCUGCCCGGUGCUGGAAGGUUAAGGAGAGGGGUUAGCGUAAGCGAAGCUCUGAACUGAAGCCCCAGUAAACGGCGGCCGUAACUAUAACGGUCCUAAGGUAGCGAAAUUCCUUGUCGGGUAAGUUCCGACCCGCACGAAAGGUGUAACGAUUUGGGCACUGUCUCAACCAGAGACUCGGUGAAAUUAUAGUACCUGUGAAGAUGCAGGUUACCCGCGACAGGACGGAAAGACCCCGUGGAGCUUUACUGUAGCCUGAUAUUGAAUUUUGGUACAGUUUGUACAGGAUAGGCGGGAGCCUUUGAAACCGGAGCGCUAGCUUCGGUGGAGGCGCUGGUGGGAUACCGCCCUGACUGUAUUGAAAUUCUAACCUACGGGUCUUAUCGACCCGGGAGACAGUGUCAGGUGGGCAGUUUGACUGGGGCGGUCGCCUCCUAAAGUGUAACGGAGGCGCCCAAAGGUUCCCUCAGAAUGGUUGGAAAUCAUUCGUAGAGUGCAAAGGCAUAAGGGAGCUUGACUGCGAGACCUACAAGUCGAGCAGGGACGAAAGUCGGGCUUAGUGAUCCGGUGGUUCCGCAUGGAAGGGCCAUCGCUCAACGGAUAAAAGCUACCCCGGGGAUAACAGGCUUAUCUCCCCCAAGAGUCCACAUCGACGGGGAGGUUUGGCACCUCGAUGUCGGCUCAUCGCAUCCUGGGGCUGUAGUCGGUCCCAAGGGUUGGGCUGUUCGCCCAUUAAAGCGGUACGCGAGCUGGGUUCAGAACGUCGUGAGACAGUUCGGUCCCUAUCCGUCGUGGGCGUAGGAAAUUUGAGAGGAGCUGUCCUUAGUACGAGAGGACCGGGAUGGACGCACCGCUGGUGUACCAGUUGUUCUGCCAAGGGCAUAGCUGGGUAGCUAUGUGCGGAAGGGAUAAGUGCUGAAAGCAUCUAAGCAUGAAGCCCCCCUCAAGAUGAGAUUUCCCAUAGCGUAAGCUAGUAAGAUCCCUGAAAGAUGAUCAGGUUGAUAGGUUCGAGGUGGAAGCAUGGUGACAUGUGGAGCUGACGAAUACUAAUAGAUCGAGGACUUAACCAUAUA
rnacentral:rRNA from 1 species